CAGCCGCCGCGGUAAUACCGGCGGCCCGAGUUGUGGCCGCUCUUAUUGGGCUUAAAGCGUCCGUAGCCGGGUUGGUUAGUCUCCCGGGAAAUCUGGCCGCUUAACGGUCAGAAUUCCGGGAGAUACUGCCAGCCUAGGGACCGGGAGAGGCCGAGGGUAUUCCCGGAGUAGGGGUGAAAUCCUAUAAUCCCGGGAGGACCACCUGUGGCGAAGGCGCUCGGCUGGAACGCGUCCGACGGUGAGGGACGAAGGCCAGGGGAGCAAACCGGAUUAGAUACCCGGGUAGUCCUGGCUGUAAACGAUGCGGACUUUGUGUCGGACAAGCUAUGAGCUUGUCCGGUGCCGGAGGGAAACCGUUAAGUCCGCCGCCUGGGGAGUACGGCCGCAAGGCUGAAACUUAAAGGAAUUGGCGGG
rnacentral:rRNA from 1 species